GUCGUCUUUAUUAGGUAAUAACACCCACUUUGUCAUCAUCGGUGAAGACGAAGCGAUAUGGUUUGUUUCUUGGCGACGGUAGUGCUCACAUCAUCGGGUUAAGUC